ACCUCUGUAGCUCAGUGGCAGAGCACUGCUCUUAUAAGCCAGGGGUCUCGAGUUCAAUCCUCACAGGAGGCG